AUCACAUGUCCUCUGAGGAGAAACACUUUUAUGUCUGCAUCAACCACCUAUCCCAGAACAUUCUGCUGUACAGCCUGAUAAAAGAGGAGGAGUCCAAGAAGAAAAUAGCCUAUCAGAGGCUACUUUCAACUUUGAACCAGUCCAGGGAUCAUACAGAGUGACAAACAGAAGAGAAGAACUUCUAAAUGAAGAUGUCAGAGAUGAAGCUGAUGAUAGAAGUGAUGAUGAUGAUGAAGAAGAAGACGUGAAAGAGCUGGAAGAACCUGCUAAUAAAGAGUAGGAGAAUGGAGAACCAAAAUGAAGAUGAAGAGUUUGCUGAUGAGGAGCAGGAGUCAGAGGUUCACCAUGAGACCAACAUUCUGAACAGAAAUGAGCAGGACGAAGCUGGACACUCUGUGCAUGAGGUCAACAGCCAAGGAUGGGAAGACUCCUCUGCACCUUUUUCUGGGAGAACUUUGGCCAUGUGUGAUCCAAAGGAACACCUGAGGAGAUCAGCCUUCUCCAGCUGGAGUGACCCUCAUGACCUCCUCCAAGAUUGGGGGUGUCCACUGUGA
rnacentral:lncRNA from 1 species